rnacentral:rRNA from 1 species
GCAGUAGCCACGGUAAUACGUAGGUGGCAAGCGUUGUCCGGAAUUACUGGGCGUAAAGGGCUCGCAGGCGGUUUCUUAAGUCUGAUGUGAAAGCCCCCGGCUCAACCGGGGAGGGUCAUUGGAAACUGGGAAACUUGAGUGCAGAAGAGGAGAGUGGAGUUCCACGUGUAGCGGUGAAAUGCGUAGAGAUGUGGAGGAACACCAGUGGCGAAGGCGAUUCUCUGGUCUGUAACUGACGCUGAGGAGCGAAAGCGUGGGGAGCGAACAGGAUUAGAUACCCCUGUAGUCCCUGUCUCUUAUAC